rnacentral:rRNA from 1 species
UCGGGUUGUAAAGCACUUUUGUCCGGAAAGAAAACUUCUGCAUUAAUACUGCGGGAGGAUGACGGUACCGGAAGAAUAAGCACCGGCUAACUACGUGCCAGCAGCGCGGUAAUCGUAGGGUGCGAGCGUUAAUCGGAAUUACUGGGCGUAAAGCGUGCGCAGGCGGUUCGUUAAGACAGAUGUGAAAUCCCCGGGCUUAACCUGGGAACUGCAUUUGUGACUGGCGAGCUAGAGUAUGGCAGAGGGGGGUAGAAUUCCACGUGUAGCAGUGAAAUGCGUAGAGAUGUGGAGGAAUACCGAUGGCGAAGGCAGCCCCCUGGGCCAAUACUGACGCUCAUGCACGAAAGCGUGGGGAGCAAACAGGAUUAGAUACCCUGGUAGUCCACGCCCUAAACGAUGUCAACUAGUUGUUGGGGAUUCAUUUCCUUAGUAACGUAGCUAACGCGUGAAGUUGACCGCCUGGGGAGUACGGUCGCAAGAUUAAAACUCAAAGGAAUUGACGGGGACCCGCACAAGCGGUGGAUGAUGUGGAUUAAUUCGAUGCAACGCGAAAAACCUUACCUACCCUUGACAUGGUCGGAACCCUGCUG